GAUUUCUGACGAACCGGAGUGGCCCGUUCCCAUUCGGGUAUGAGUGCCGCUUUGAGUUUGUCAUCCUUCCAGAAAGCUGCGACUACCGUUUACUCGGCCGGCCGUAUGCGAUCUGGAUCUAUUACUUUGAAAAAAUUAGAGUGUUUAAAGCAGGCUUAUGCUGUGAAUACAUUAGCAUGGAAUAAUAAUUUAGGACUUUGGUUCUAUUUUGUUGGUUUCUAGGACUGAAGUAAUGAUUGAUAGGGAUAGUUGGGGGUGCUAGUAUUCAGCGGCCAGAGGUGAAAUUCUCGGAUUCGCUGAAGACUAACUUAUGCGAAAGCAUU
rnacentral:rRNA from 1 species